rnacentral:ribozyme from 1 species
UGCAGUGUUGCUCUGUAAUGGGAUGGGAUCCGAAGCCCUCCGAGGGAUAACAUAGGCUCUCCCAUCCAACUCCUAUUCCGACACGUCCUCGUCGUGCAGAGUGGUAACAUGUGCCUUCAUAUAUCCUAGCUUGGG